rnacentral:lncRNA from 1 species
GAACCCAGCGGGAGAUGCCGGUAAAAGAAGUUGCUGAAAGCCAAGCUGGAAUGGCCUGGAGCUGCCGCCGCCGGCCCCGUCACACACCGGGAGCAGCUGAACUUUGUGGGGUCUGAAGAUUUUUCAUCUCUGCGAACGCUCUGGGCAGCGCCACGGCACAGCCAGGACGGCACCGCACACCUUGUGCCUGCCCCAGCCCGGGACAGAGCCAGGAGGGGAUCUCUGCCUCCCCAAGGACCAUCGCCUCUGAAAAAUAAAAGCUGGAGGAGGGUAAUUUAUCUUUCUUUUCCAGAUGACUGAAAAUACCUACAGGAUCCUGUCUCUCCGGUUUUCAUCAGUGAGUAGCAUAAGGGAGAGGUGGCUGAGGAACAAAAAUGAUAUCGGUCAAAAUCAUUCCAGAGCCUACUUUUUCCUAAGGAACUUCGUGCCCAUAGGGUUUUUCUGCGGGCAUUUCCAGGAGUGAGACCGAGGUACCACAGAUGCAUCCCUACAGGAUCAUGUAAGAAUUUGCAAAUGAGAAACGAACCCCAUCCAGACCUUCUCUGCCCGCUUUGCAGUACAUGGUUUGGUGUAAGCACAGCAAUUCUCACCUCUUUCUCUCCCUUUUAAGUCUCUUGAGCUUGGAGACCUCUUUCCUCAUUGCAAUUAUGAUUAUUUGCAACAUCAGUGCCAUCAAAGAUUGGAGCACUUUCCUUUCCCAAAUCCUCCCCAGCGUUAACAAGACUCUGAACUUGGUACAGCAAGUGGAAGCCACCACCAGCUCGGUGGUAAGUGUCCUCCAGGACCCCGAGCAGGACAGCUACCUGUCCAAUAGCCAGUCCAUGAACUCCAGCAACUUCACAGCUGGCCUGGACCACUUGUUCCAGUACUCAUACUCGGACAAUGAUCAGCUCUACAAGGAGUACAAACCCCCUCCUCGAGAUGCCAUUCCUCUGCCCAAGGCUGUCCUCUACCUUCUCAUGGCAGCCCUGGUGGUGGUGGCAGUGGCGUAUGCCAUCGUCGGCCAUCUCAUCAAGGACCUCAUUUACGACUUUGUAGACUGGAUCUUUGGCCCCAGCCCGGAUGACAACAGCAACAAGAGCGACAUCAACUGCAUCAGCAACAGCGUCAACGAGAUGAGCGAGCUGCCCGAGGCUCCGCGGCACCGGGAGCGCCAGCCCCAGGACGUGGUCAUUGCCAUCAGCGAGACUUGCCACUUGCCACAGCAGACGUGACCGGCACCACGGCCGGGCC